UACGAAGGGGGCGAGCGUUGUUCGGAUUUACUGGGCGUAAAGGGCGCGCAGGCGGCUUAUUUUGUCAGGCGUGAAAGCCCCGGGCUUAACCUGGGAAUUGCGUUUGAUACGGAUGGGCUAGAGUUCGGGAGAGGAGAGUGGAAUUCCCAGUGUAGAGGUGAAAUUCGUAGAUAUUGGGAAGAACACCGGUGGCGAAGGCGGCUCUCUGGACCGAUACUGACGCUGAGGCGCGAAAGCGUGGGGAGCAAACAGG
rnacentral:rRNA from 1 species